ACGCCGGGGCUGUGGGAAUAAGAUGGCGGGGAAGAAGAAUGUUCUGUCGUCCCUCGCGGUUUACGCGGAAGAUUCAGAGCCCGAGUCUGAUGGCGAGGCUGGAAUCGAGGCGGUGGGCAGCGCGGCUGAGGAGAAAGGCGGAUUGGUAUCUGAUGCCUAUGGGGAGGAUGACUUUUCUCGUCUAGGGGGUGAUGAAGAUGGUUAUGAAGAAGAAGAAGAUGAGAACAGUAGACAGUCGGAAGAUGACGAUUCAGAGACUGAAAAACCUGAGGCUGAUGACCCAAAGGUAUUUGGUGUUGGCUGUGGUGGGUGGCUGGAUGCAAACAAGGUGUUUGAACAUUAUGGCUCAGUUCGUAUGUCUGGUCAAGAUCUGUCCCACUGACAAACUGUGCAACUGUGUGGACAUUUUCUGGGAUAAAAUAAGCUUUAUAAAGAAAGAACCUGGAGACAACUCAGGAAUGAACAAAUCCUGAGACACAUUGGAUUUCCAGCCUUUCAGAUUGUGCCAUAUCUCCUGACUAGAAAGGCGAGGGGCCUGGCUGAGUCCAACAACCCUCUUGCAUUCUGCAUCCCAGAUGG
rnacentral:sRNA from 1 species